GUGGGGAAUCUUGCGCAAUGGGCGAAAGCCUGACGCAGCCAUGCCGCGUGAAUGAUGAAGGUCUUAGGAUUGUAAAAUUCUUUCACCGGGGACGAUAAUGACGGUACCCGGAGAAGAAGCUCCGGCUAACUUCGUGCCAGCAGCCGCGGUAAUACGAAGGGGGCUAGCGUUGCUCGGAAUUACUGGGCGUAAAGGGCGCGUAGGCGGACAGCUUAGUCAGAGGUGAAAGCCCAGGGCUCAACCUUGGAAUUGCCUUUGAUACUGGCUGUCUUGAGUUUGGGAGAGGUGAGUGGAACUCCGAGUGUAGAGGUGAAAUUCGUAGAUAUUCGGAAGAACACCAGUGGCGAAGGCGACUCACUGGCCCAAUACUGACGCUGAGGUGCGAAAGCGUGGGGAGCAAACAGGAUUAGAAACCCGUGUAGUCC
rnacentral:rRNA from 1 species